GCUGGAGAGAAUGAGCUUGGAGCCGCAGGGCUUAAUCCCGCGCGGCUCAGAGAUGGGUUUCUGGACUCGCGAAGCAGCUGCAACAAGGCAUCACUCACUGUAUAAGUAUUUCCAUUUCUGAGAGCAAAAGGAAGAACUUAAGCGGGCGGCACUUGGAGUGUAAAUUGCUUUGUAGUAUUUAAAGGCAGAAUGGAUCCUGGGCAGCCGAGCUGAGUUGCUUCCCCCUUCUUUACUCCGAAAAAUCAACUUUUGAGCUUUUUCUUAAAUCCUAUAUCUCCUGGGAGGCUUUUUCUAACUCAUACACAAAGAUAGAUAUUCUGAAGCCUUAAAUUUGUACCUUGGUCACACAACAAACCGGCAGGACUUCCUGUGAAAUCAUGACCACCAUGUGCUCUUUCAGCCUCUAUCAGUUCCUACCUCUAAGCACCUGAGAGCCAAAGCAAACCACAGGAAACCACAGGGCAAAUUUAUGUUACUCUGGAAGUAGAGAAAAUCAUGAUGGCAGAUCGGAGGCAGGACUAAUCUGCAACUUCCACUGAGACAGACAGACCAGUGUGUGGAGACUCACAUCAUGAACUUUUGCUCCAAGAACUACUGCAGGACCAUACCAGGAAAGCUGAGAGAAUCCACAGAAGGAUCUUGAUCACCACCGCAGGCUCCCUGAGAUGCUGAAGAAAACUUACUCAAACUAAACGUCAGCUUUUCCCGGCUCUCAAGCCUGCUGGUCCCUGAACUAAAACUCACAUUAUCAACUCUACUGGUUCUUAGGCCUUUGGAGUCAGACUGGAACUACAGCAUUGACUCUUCCGGAACUCCAGCUUACUGACUACAGAUCUUGGAACUUUUCAGCUUCCACAACCAUCUUCUUUGGACCUUUUAAGUUGCAUUAUCCCAUAAAAUGUGGUGGAUUCAAUGUUGUAUGGCCUGUAAAACUAAGUAAUGAAGGCUGAUAUGUACCCACCUGGCUCUGUCUUGGGAUCACACAACUUGGGAGCCAAAACAGGUGAGGAUGGGGAGGUGUCAAACAAGACCUAACCUCUCAACAAUCAGCUGGACACUGUUGUGUAAGAAUGUGAAGCUUGGCACUGCUGCAGCCAUCUUGUUCCAGGAAGGGUAAAACCUGAGGUUAGAAGCCAACAUCCUAAUGAUGGCAGAGAAGACAAAGAGAACCAGAGUCUAAAUGACAUUGUUGAGUUAGAUCACUACACUACCUCUAGUCUUCUUUUUAUGUGUGAUAAUAAAUCUCACUUAUACUUAAGCCAUUUGAAGUUGAGUCUAAUGUUCAUUUCAGACCAAAGCAGCUUAACUGACAUGUUCUCCGCUUUGUUACCCUAUCCAGUUGUUUUCAUGCAGGAAAUAAAUCUCAAAUUACCUCA